CCUACGGGGGGCAGCAGUGAGGAAUAUUGGUCAAUGGACGAGAGUCUGAACCAGCCAAGUAGCGUGAAGGAUGACUGCCCUAUGGGUUGUAAACUUCUUUUAUAUGGGAAUAAAAUGUUCCACGUGUGGGAUUUUGUCUGUACCAUAUGAUUCAGGAUCGGCUAAUUCCGUGCCGGCAGCCGCGGUAAUACGGAGGAUCCGAGCGUUAUCCGGAUUUAUUGGGGUUAAGGGGAGCGUAGUCGGUCAUUUAAGCCGACGGUCAAAUGUCGGGGUUAAACCCCGGCCUGCCGUCGAAACUGGGUGCCUUGAGUGGGCGAGAGGUAUGCGGAAUGCGUGGUGUAGCGGUGAAAUGCAUAGAUAUCACGCAGAACCCCGAUUGCGAAGGCAGCAUACCGGCGCCCUACUGACGCUGAGGCACGAAAGUGCGGGUAUCGAACAGGAUUAGAUACCCGGGUAGUC
rnacentral:rRNA from 1 species